AAUUGAUCCAAUUGUGCAUUUCUCCUUCGUUUAUUCACGUCCAGUUAUUUUUGAUAUUUUGAAAAAAAAUAUAGUUGGACUUUCUAAAUUGCUAAGCAAUCAUUCAUGUGCAUGUUGAAGAAAAAGGAUUCAACUUCUGCUCACUCCCUACUUCCCAUGCGCUGAUUUGCAAAAUGUUUACCACAAUAGCUUCAAUAAAUGUGUUUUCAUUUCUCCUUUGAGAGAUGGUACUUGGAAAAGUUUGUGAAAGGACAAUGGGAUAAAGAUGACUGUGUUCUUGAGUGGAAAAAUUACAUAGACUAUCCCUCGAUAACUCACCACUCUUCUUAUGUCUUUCAGCUCUAUUCAUGUUUUGUCUGAUGUUCCUAAUCAGUUCAUGAGCUCUCUUUAUGAGUUUCACUUUCCUCGGUUCUCAUGUAUUCAAACAUAAGAGUUUAGGUGGAAAAUUUCUUACUCGCAUUUUGGAGUUUUUUGGUGAGUUUAAUCCAACUAAACAAGCUGAUGCAAAAGAAUCCAGCCGAUGAUACUUGGCCCUUUAUGUUUCUCAAUAACAUUCUCUCUUUGAAACAAAUCCAUUGAGCAACUUGUUUAUAUAUAGGAAAGCAUUCUCUAUAUUACUUGGGACUUAGGAGGGAAAUCAAAAUAGAAUUAAGGAGAAUGUUGUAUUCUUAUUUUGGCAACCAAGCUGUAGGCCUUUUCCGGGAUUGCUUCAGCAAUUUAAUAAUAGUUGAUGUUAUCAUAUGCAAAAAUUCGUUUGGGGGUGCUGACUUCGUCUUCUUCUUGAUCAGCUGGUGGUCCGCAUCAUUUCUUUGUUUAUUGUAUGGACUAGAAAGGUAAAUAAAAUCUUCCGUCCUUAGAAACAUUCUUCAUGCAAAACUUAACUGAAAUUAAAAAAAAAAACUUAACUGAAAUUUAAAUUUUCCAAAAUCCUGAACCAUUUUACUGUGCUUACACUUUCUGGCUCAUGAACUCUAAAGAGUUGACACAUACUUGUAGAGUACUUGGACCAUUGGCAUCAUCACACUUCACAACAGAGGUGCGUACGAGGGAAACCAUCCGUUGAAAUCACUGUUCUAAAAUACACACAAUGUUAGGAAACAACUGUCUUUCGUCGUUCAUAUGGAUGCAGAGUUGCCGAUUUGAUUUACAGAGUCAAUAUGAGUUAGUAAAUGUCUUGCUCUAAAAAAAAAUACACACAAUGUGGUCGUCUAAGCGCCAUAUAUACGCUGUACGGGUGCAUAACGUACUGAAUUUGGUGGUUCGGUUUAUUUAUACGGCAUAGUCUAUUUUAGAUAUUGUGGUUAGUAUUAACGAAGAAAAUGAUUAUAAUGAACAAGUCAAAUAUUCAAAUUA